UAGGGACAUGUGUUGCGAGCUGACCUCUGAUGUGGAAGAAGGAUGGAUGGAUGGAUGGAUGGAUGGAUGGAUGGAUAGAUAGAUAGAUAAAGUAUGAAAUACAUAACAUCUGAGUUAAUGUAAGGUACUUUGUCUAUUUCUGUCAUGCACAUGCAAAAAAAUCAUCUGCCACAUGCAGAAGUAAAAAAAACCAGAAAAAAAGAAAAAAAAA